GGUGUUUCUCAUUUUUGUUAUGGCACGAGGCAAGGUAGAGGCAUUAAGAGGAGAGUUGAUGAUGAGUCAUGAAGCACGGAGGUCUAUUUUUUUGACUGACACAUUGACUGGACCCCUAAGAACCCCUGUGUUCCUCCCCUUGAUGAAUUGAUUAUCGUUGGAAGUUGGAACUCACUCAUGAAAAAUGAAAGCAACAAAGAGAGAACCAAUUAGUUCAACAGCUCUUCCCCCUCAAGGGGUUGGGCUUGGGGGUUUGCUCCCUCUUAGGUCACAGGUUUCAAAAUCUCUUAGGUUCUAUCAACUCCUUGGGGUCCAGUCCAUAUAGAGCCUUCGCUCUAGCUUUAAUUGGAACCCUCGCAAUUGGGCAGUAGAAUUGGACCCCCAAAAUUAGUCGAAGUGUGUGAAAGCUGGCCCAAACACUUAAGUUAUCAAAAAAAAAACUCUCCCCACAAUAGCAGCUGAAAUCUACAACUUGAAAAUGAAAAGUUCAACAUAAUAAUCAUAACAAAAAGCCUUUUUAUCUCUUCCCUAAAUCUAUAAGAGCCGGUUCCAGAAACGAAAAAGGUCCUUAUUUUUUAAGAAAGCAAUUUCAAUUUCAAAAAUUAUGGACUUAUUGAAAUCUAAAAAAAUGCAAUAUAGAUCUUAUUUGAAAGAUUUCAUCGAGAUCUUUCAUACAAUACAAAAACAAAAACUGAAAUUUUAUUUUUCAUUUACAUUAUUUUUGAGUUUAAAAAUAUAAAAUAAACUACUUAUUUUUUAAAAAAGUUUCUGGAACGGGACCUACCCCUUCUAUCACAUUAAAAUACAUAGUACAAAAAAAUCAAAUCAAUCAACUAGACAAAUCAAUAGAUACACAGAGGCGAAACGAAAAGAAAUCAUAUCUAACCCUAAAAAAGAGAGAGAGAACCAGUAAGCACGACAGCUCUCUCCACAACUGCAGCUGAAAUCUAGUAAUAUUUAAAAAUGAAAAUUUGAGAUAAUAAUCAUAACAGGUCAGUUUCAUUCACAUAUCUUCCCUAAAAUUACCCCACUUUUUUCACAUCAGAACACAUAAAACAAAAAAUCAAAUCAAUCAACUAGAGAAAUAAAUCGAUGCAGAGGCGAGAACAAAUCUAACCCUAAAUGCGAAUCCUGUAACCAAAAAAAGAAAAGAAAAAAUGGUGAAAGGUCUGACCUCUGAUCUGAUCCAGUACAACGGAGCUGGGAGCAAAUGGGUUGCGCGGGGAGACGGAUCUGGUGGGUCCGUUGGAGGGUGAAUCGGAGCCGUUGAUCGGAUUCCUGGAGAAGAAAGCCGACGAUGAUGAGUGAGAGGACCUCCAUGAGAGAGAAGAAGAAAGCCUCCUCCCUGUAACUCUCAACAUCUUCUUCUUCUUCUUCCCUUUUUUCCUCUGCUUUCGGUGGGUUUGGUCCUUCUUAGGCUAGGGUUUCACUACGAUUGGAUGUGCCGAUGAACGGAGAGAAUUUGAGCCAAAGACGAACGAAUGAACGAAA